CGAAGACCCGGAGCGGGCGCCUCGCUGAGCUAAUCCGCACUUGACUGGCAAUAUUUUGCUUGAUAUUGGGCCAAGAUAAGUUGGUCCAAGAUAAGUUAUGGAAGGCACUGAGGAUCUAAGGUACAGAGUGAAGGAGAUGAUCAAGUCAUAUAUCACAUAAACAAUUAAAAACUAUCCUUUGGCUGUAAGCUUUUUGAAAUGAUGAAGUGCUAGUUCAGAGUGAGCUGUCCUUGAAU